UACGUAGGGGGCAAGCGUUGUCCGGAUUUAUUGGGCGUAAAGCGCUCGCAGGUGGUCCGCUGCGUCGUGCGUGAAAGACCCCGGCUCAACUGGGGGAUGUCGUGCGAUACGGGCGGACUGGAGGCCAGUAGGGGGAUCUGGAAUUCCUGGUGUAGCGGUGGAAUGCGCAGAUAUCAGGAGGAACACCGAUGGCGAAGGCAGGUCACUGGGCCGCAACUGACGCUGAGGAGCGAAAGCAUGGGGAGCGAACAGG
rnacentral:rRNA from 1 species